rnacentral:rRNA from 1 species
GACGAACGCUGGCGGCGUGCUUAACACAUGCAAGUCGAACGGAAAGGCACUGCUUUUGUGGGGUGCUCGAGUGGCGAACGGGUGAGUAACAUGUGAGUAACCUGCCCUUGACUUUGGGAUAACUUCAGGAAACUGGGGUUAAUCUCGGAUAGGAGCUCCUGCUGCAUGGAGGGGGUUGGAAAGUUUCGGCGGUUGGGGAUGGACUCGCGGCUUAUCAGCUUGUUGGUGGGGUAGUGGCUUACCAAGGCUUUGACGGGUAGCCGGCCUGGGUGGGUGACCGGCCACAUGGGGACUGAGGUACGGCCCAGAGUCCAACAGGGGGCAGCGGUGGGGAAUAUUGCACAAUGGGCGGAAGCCUGAUGCAGCAACGCCGCGUGCGGGAUGACGGCCUUCGGGUUGUAAACCGCUUUCGCCUGUGACGAAGCGUGAGUGACGGUAAUGGGUGAAGAAGCACCGGCUAACUACGUG